rnacentral:rRNA from 1 species
UGGGGAAUCUUCCGCAAUGGGGCGCAAGCCUGACGGAGCAACGCCGCGUGAGUGAAGAAGGGUUUCGACUCGUAAAGCUCUGUUGUCGGGGACGAAUGUGGAGAUGGUGAAUAACCAUUUCUAAUGACGGUACCUGACGAGGAAGCCACGGCUAACUACGUGCCAGCAGCCGCGGUAAUACGUAGGUGGCGAGCGUUGUCCGGAAUUAUUGGGCGUAAAGGGAGCGCAGGUGGGACUUCAAGUCAGUCUUAAAAGUGCGGGGCUCAACCCCGUGAUGGGAUUGAAACUGUAGUUCUUGAGUGCAGGAGAGGAAAGCGGAAUUCCUAGUGUAGCGGUGAAAUGCGUAGAUAUUAGGAGGAACACCAGUGGCGAAGGCGGCUUUCUGGACUGUAACUGACACUGAGGCUCGAAAGCGUGGGGAGCGAACA